CGAAGCAGGCUCCAGGUUCUGAGCCAUCAGCCCAGAGCCCGACGCGGGGCUCGAACCCACGGACCGUGAGAUCGUGACCUGAGCUGAAGUCGGACGCUUAACUGACUGAGCCACCCAAGCGCCCCUCAAUUUUAAUUUUAGAGAGAAAGAGAGCACAUAAACAGGGGAGUGGGGCAAAGGGAGAGAGGCAGAAUCUUAAGCAGUCUCCACACUCAGCACAGAGCCCAACACGGGGCUCAAUCCCAUGACCCUGGGAUCAUGACCUGAGCCGAAAUCAAGAGUCGGAUGCCCAACGGACUGAGCCACCCAGGUGCCCCUCUGACGUCAUUCUUAGGUAGCUCUUGUCCCCUCUAAGACUAUAUAAAUCAUCGCUUGCAUUUUUUUCUGGUUUUGAUUUUAUAUGUAACUAAAAGAAUCUGAUUUUAUUUUUCAUCUAAGUGUUAAACCAUCUAACUCAGCAUUAUUCAUUGGGCGUCACUAUUUUCCUACUAUUUCGGUCUUCUAUUUUUAUCAUGCGUAGAUGAAAUACUCGUAUACAUGUGCAUCCUCGGACCUGGGUUUGGACUUUGUGGGUUAUUACAUUGUUCUGUCUAUCCCUGUGUCAGUAUUAUACAAAUUAGCUUAGCUAUACAACACCCUUUGACAUAAGAUGACCAGGUCCAUUCUCAUUAUUUUUAAAAGUAAUUUUUCUCACUGUUCUAGAAUGUUUAUACUUUCCUAACAGCCUGGGAAUCACUUGAUGAGCUCCUCAAAAGUCUUGGGAUCGCGUCUUUGGAAAACUCACAUCUCUCUGGGUGAGUGGGCGGGAGGUCAGGCAUGUGGGCGGCCAGGCAUCGGGCUUGCUCAAAACCCAGCUCAGGUGUUUCCUCCUCUUCUUGUGUUGACCCAGCCCUCCGGUCACAGAGUACCUUUGCUUGGCCUGAGGUUUCCACCUGACCUUCCGGCCCUGGCCUGGGCCCAGUCACUCACACCCGAAAUGCCAUGUUCUGGGAAAUCAUAAAAUGGCAGAAAGGCUGGUGGUGAAGGCACAGCACUAUUUCCUCAGAUCAAAGGGCCUGGAAACAUCCUGAAAACACUUUAUUCAGCCCUACAAACAGACUUACAAGUAGGAAUUAAGGAUUUCAUUCACUCAACUCUUUCAUUUACUUACUCCGUUCAUUGUGUCAAGGUACUAAAAUAUAUGAAAAGUACGAUUUUGCUCAGGCAGGGCCCUCACGAGUCCCUCUGUGGCUCAGAGUCAUUCAAGCCAGGCAGUCUGAGAGAGACCACACUGCUUAAGUAAAUGGGGGGCAAGGAGGUUAAUAUUCAAAGUGUCAUGGAUAAGGGUGGGCGACGAGCGCUGCAGUAACAACCCCCAAAUCUCACUCAGAGUCCAAGUGGAUCCAAGUGAUCCCCUUGGGUCAACAAGGAUAGUUGUUCUCCGUGCAUUCGCUCAGGCUUCCAGAAUGCUGGGUUGCACGACUUUACAUCCGCCAAUGCUUCUGUGAUCAUGGCGGCAGCAGAAGGGAGGCCAUUUGGGAAAUGGACACUGGUCCUCAUCUGUGUCUACCCAGAAGUGACGCAUGUCACAGACCUGCCUUCAUAGAGCCUCUUGUAUCGAAAUAUUGGUGAAAAUCAGUAAAAUCUACCCCAAAAUACCUGCUAGUAGCCAUUGACAGGCCUAAGAAUCGCAGACAACUUGCCUGAACGAUGAGUGUCUGAGUAGCCUGGGGACUGCACAGAAGACGGCUCCCUAUUGCCCCGGUUCACAGGUGUUAUUAUGGCCUAUUCAUUCUUAAUCUACUUAUAGAGCAUCUCGAUGGCCUGUUGCUGGGACACAAUUCUACAGCUUAUCUCUGAUGUCAUGGAUGUGCAGGGCUGCAGCGUCUCUGAGGGCAUAAGCAGCCAUCUCCACCUCUGUACCCAGUGCCUGGACAAAUAUUUGACCUAUAAAUUCGUAUUUUACUCCUCCUAAUAGAUACCUGGUUUCUCUGCUCUUGUGUCGAAGGCAGAGGCAACUGGAAAAGUCCAGCACACCAUUCACCUUGGGUUGAGGACAUCCAGAAGGAGUUUUGAACUGAUAUCAAGCAAGAGUUUCUAAUCUCCGUGUGGCGAUUUGUGUGACACACGUUUCCCCACGCUUGGGCAGUCAAGAGACUGGGAAGAAGAGGAAGCUGGUGUGUAAAGGAGGACGAAGCAAGGAUGCAGAGAGGGGUAGAAGCCAAGGAGACAGCUCGAUGUUGCCUGCGCUCCCCCCGACUCCCCUCCCCCAUCCUCCCUGGGCCAAUUUAGAGCUCUCUGCUCUUAGAAAAAAUACUUCUGGAGCGCCUGGAUGGCUCAGUCGGUUCAGCAUCCGACUUCGGCUCAGGUCAUGAUCUCAUGGUGUGUGAGUUCGAGCCCCACACCGGGCUCACUGCUGUCAGUGCAGAGCCUGCCUCAGAUCCUCUGUCCCCCUCCCCCGCUUGCACUCUCCCCCCCAAAUAAAAUAAACAUUUUUCAAAAAAAUAAACAACAAGAAAAAAAUGCUUCUCCUUCGCUGAAGCUGGAUCCAGUUGUUCUUAUUUGCAAUCAUAGUAAUAAUAAGAAUAAUUAAUAAAAGGCCUUUCUAAGCUCCCUCGGUGAGUGUGUCCGGUGUGGCCUUCCUGUGGAACUGACGUAUCGCAGAAGCCGCCAGGAGUGGGGGAGAAAGAUCUUGGCAGAGAGCCUGACCCGCCUGCUUUUGUUUUUAGGCAUCCUGUCCUAUCUACCAGAUGAGGCUGCGGGGGUGGUGGGCAGAGGACUGGGGGAUCCAUUCAGGAAGGGCCGGUCAGGGCAGAUCUCAUGGUCCCAGAAACAAGGGAGAGAGUGGUUGGCUUCCUGUGUAGGGAGGGGCGUCUGCUGCCCUCCCCUAGGAGCCUGUGCUCCACCCCAGAUGUCAUUCCAGUUUCUUUACACGUUUUUACGGUACCUGUCACGAUGAGCACGGGGUGAUGUAUGGAACUGUUGAAUUACUUACUAUACUAUAUACCUGAAACUAAUAUAACACUGCACGUUAACUAAUUGGAAUUAAAAUAAAUACUUCAUUAAAAAAAAAAAAAAGAAAAGAAAAGAAGGGGCACCUGGGUGGCCCAGUCGCUUAAGCGUCUGACUCUCGAUACAGGCUCAGGUCGUGAUCUCGUGGUUUGUGGGAUGGAGCCCCAAGUUGGGCUCUGCUGACAGUGCAGAGGCUGCUUGGGAUUCUCUCUCUCUCUCCUCUCUCUGCCCCUCCCCCGUUCUCAUUCUCUCUCUC